UUGCCCUAGUAACUGCGAGUGAAGCGGGAAAAGCUCAAAUUUAAAAUCUGGCGGCCUCUGUGACCGUCAGAUUUGUUAUCUAGAGAAGCGUUAUCGGCGCUGGACCGUGUACAAGUCUCUUGGAAUAGAGCGUCAUAAAGGGUGAGAAUCCCGUCUUUGACACGGACAACCAGUGCUUUGUGAUGCGCUCUCGACGAUUCGAGUUGUUUG
rnacentral:rRNA from 1 species